UCUCCGUAGGUGAACCUGCGGAGGGAUCAUUACACAAAAAAAUAUGAAGGCUGCACGCGGCUGUGUCUCUUUCGGGGGGCCAGCUUUGCGGAGGCUGAAAUAUUUUUCACCCAUGUCUUUUGCGCACUUGUUGUUUCCUGGGCGGGUUUCGCCCGCCACCAGGACCACACCAUAAAUCUUUUUUAUGCAGUUGCAAUCAGCGUCAGUAUAACAAAUGUAAAUCAUUUACAACUUUCAACAACGGAUCUCUUGGUUCUG
rnacentral:misc_RNA from 1 species